AUUGAACGCUGGCGGCAGGCCUAACACAUGCAAGUCGAGCGAGCGGCGGACGGGUGAGCAAUGUAUGGGGACUGCCCGCUAGAGGGGGACAACAACUGGAAACGGUGGCUAAUAACGCAUACUAUCGGAUAACCCAUAUGGGAUUAUCUAGUAGGGUGGGUAAAGGCUCACCUAGGCGACGAUCUCUCGCUGGUCUGAGAGUAUGACCAGCCACACUGGGAAUGAGACACGGCCCGGACUCCUACGGAGGAAGCAGUGGGUAAUAUUGCACAAUGGGGGCAAACCUGAUGCAGCCAUGCCGCGUGUAUGAAGAAGGCCUUAGGGUUGUAAAGUACUUUCGGCAGGGAGGCGUUACCCGCAGAAGAAGCACCGGCUAACUCCGUGCCAGCCGCCGCGGUAAUAC
rnacentral:rRNA from 1 species